AAAAUAUUCAGCAUUCAUUUUAUUAUCCUUUUUAAUUUUGCUUAUUAGACACUCAUGUCAUUCAUGCUCUGAUUCGUUACUGGAAAACAUCUCAGUAUAUAACAGUUGGUCCAGUGCUUGUGAGACAAUAUUCCAAGAAAUACCUUGGGAAAGUCGGAAGGCUAUUAGAGUGCACACAGCAAGCUUGCUUAUUCAGUGGCUGCCUUGCUUAGCUGUAUGUGAAACUGAAUAAUGGAGCAAGAAAAUAGCAGGGACUUCCCAUAUAUUUUAGCAUCCACUUUAGUGAGCGACUGUGCUGUUUCAGUGCAGUGUACAGUAUUAUCUCCAGGCAAGUGUGGCUGUUGUGCGUGCUGUAACUUCUCUCAAAAGAAAAAUGCUUUUACUGCCCGUUUGGGUGAUGCUACAAAGCAAGUGACGUGUUAACCUGUCCAAGCUUAGCGCCGCACRCAGUGAGGCAUCCGCAGCAUCAGUCGCCUGCUGAUUCUUUUACUGCAGUGUCAUCAGUAGCUGAGGCAUUCACAGCUGAGAGCCAAGGAGCCUCCAGGAGGGGGACCCUGAGCACGUAGGACACUGCAUUGGCAUUGCAUGUAGGUGAACAUGUUGGAGUUCUGAAAGCAAUCCUGUGGCUCGGAAGAACUCUUGGAAGCUGGGUUGUGAGAAAAGAAACAYGGGCUCUCGUGAAGCCGACAUAUUCAAACACAUUCUUCAAAAUAACGUUUUGUUUUUUUCUGGCAAUAUAAUUUGAAUUUGGAAUGCAGCAAUAAUUAACUUCCUGGGACUAAUAUGAUACAGGACAACCAGCAAGAAGAAAAUCAAGCACUUGCACGUUGGUACUGAGGUGUUUUUUUGGUCCCUUUUGAUUUUGCUCUGAGGGUAUUGUGAGCUAAAAGGAAUCAUUGGAAGUUGUAGUAUGAAAUUCCGUGUUACUUGUUGAACAGCAAAUUAAACUUAAUUAGCUAAAGCUUUAUUGUCUUAUGUUAAUCUUAAUAAAGUGUGUGGAGUGGAUUAUUUCACUGUGAAUGUCUGUAUAGUUCUCUCAAAUGACAAUGAGGAACAGCAAUACAAAAUGCUAAUAGCUGCUUCUCGACAUCAUUCAGAAUUAUGUGGUUUUUGUYGUAGUUUGUAUGAAACUGUAAAACAUUCCUGAGUGUUUUAUUCAGAACUGGAAGUGAAGGGUUAAGAUAGAAGCAACAUUCUAGUAAUAUUUGCACGUGACAUAUUUCCUUUGUUAAUCUUUCUCUUUGAUCUCUCUUUUGGAGCAAAUUGAACAUACUGUGUAUGUUAGAAGGUAUUUCUGGAGGUUGCUAGUGCAUGUGGUGGAUGAAGCCAGUGGAUUGUAUAGUACACUGUGUAAUUUCCUUCUAAAAAAUGAGAUCUGAUACCUUAUUUAAAUAUAUUUAAUUUUUGAAUAACUUGAUCCCUUGCUUAGGUUUAGCAAGCUCUGAAAGUUUUCAAUGCUGCUUUUUACUUUGUAUGCUU